rnacentral:rRNA from 1 species
GUGAACGCUGGCGGUAGGCCUAACACAUGCAAGUCGAACGGCAGCACAGUAAGAGCUUGCUCUUACGGGUGGCGAGUGGCGGACGGGUGAGGAAUACAUCGGAAUCUACUUUUUCGUGGGGGAUAACGUAGGGAAACUUACGCUAAUACCGCAUACGACCUACGGGUGAAAGCAGGGGAUCUUCGGACCUUGCGCGAUUGAAUGAGCCGAUGUCGGAUUAGCUAGUUGUCGGGGUAAAGGCCCACCAAGGCGACGAUCCGUAGCUGGUCUGAGAGGAUGAUCAGCCACACUGGAACUGAGACACGGUCCAGACUCCUACGGGAGGCAGCAGUGGGGAAUAUUGGACAAUGGGCGCAAGCCUGAUCCAGCCAUACCGCGUGGGUGAAGAAGGCCUUCGGGUUGUAAAGCCCUUUUGUUGGGAAAGAAAAGCAGCAGGUUAAUACCCCGCUGUUCUGACGGUACCCAAAGAAUAAGCACCGGCUAACUUCGUG